GUCUUAAAAGUUCAGUCGUUAGAGCACUGGCACUGUAAACCAGAGGUCCUGGGUUUGAGUCCCACUUGAGACU
rnacentral:tRNA from 1 species